UACGAAGGGGGCUAGCGUUGUUCGGAAUUACUGGGCGUAAAGCGUGCGCAGGCGGCUUCUCAAGUCAGGGGUGAAAGCCCAGAGCUCAACUCUGGAAUUGCCUUUGAGACUGAGUGGCUUGAGUACGAGAGAGGUGAGUGGAAUUCCCAGUGUAGAGGUGAAAUUCGUAGAUAUUGGGAAGAACACCGGUGGCGAAGGCGGCUCACUGGCUCAUUACUGACGCUCAUGCGCGACAGCGUGGGGAUCAAACAGG
rnacentral:rRNA from 1 species